GAUGGUAUGAGAGUAGUGGACAGAA
rnacentral:piRNA from 1 species